AUUAAUGAAGGGCUCAUGAGUUGAGAUGAGGACUGGGAGAAAAUACUCUAAGGGAAAAACAGGUUGAAAAUUAAAAGUAUAAAGUAAAUUUAUUGUUAACAGAGUUAAAGGAGGAUAAUGAAAAGUAAAAUACACCUUUUAAAGCAUCUUUUUUUCCCCAGCCCCUCCCUCCUUCCCAUUGACAGUACAGGGAGAGACAGGGUGUGGGGGUUUUGGUCAGUUUGUCACUGGACAUCAACUUCUGUUUGCUCAGGGAGAGGAGUAUUCCCUCUGCUGUGCUGGGGGGUCCCUCCCAUGGGAGACAGUUCUCUGUAAAUUUCUGUAAUGUGUCUCUAAUCUCAGAGCAGCAGUCUUGCCAAAACUGCUGCCACAUGAGUGCAUCCCAUGGGCAAACAGUCUUCCCAAAACUGCUGUGAUGUGGGUCACUUGUCCAUGGGGUGCAGUCCUCUAAGAAUAGGCUGCUCUAGUUGGGAAACAAGGGCUCUCUAUCUCUGGAAGCAGGAGCCCUCUCUCUCUCCAUUCAGGUCUCCCACUAGAUCACAUCUUUCUCUGGCAUCCAGCUGUUAAGAGUGUGAGCACUUCUCCCAUAGGCUGUGAGUGGAUCUCUGCAUCCUCCAUGGACUUCAUGGGCUGCAGGGUGACAGCUGCUUCACCAUAGUCCUCACCAUGGCCUGCAGAGGAAUCUCAGCUCUGGUGCUUGGAGCACCUCCUCUCCCUUUUUCCACUGACCUUGGUGCCACCAUGUUGUUCUCCCUCACGUGUCCUCACUUCCUCCUCUUCUUUGACUAGAAGAAAAACUUUUGCCUGUACUAUUGCUAACAAGUUCCUCCAAUUCAAAGAUUGUCCAAGAUCCCACAGCACUGAGAGGUUGAUCUUGUCUAGGUUCUGUGCCAGACAAUCACUCUCUGUGUUUCCACUGUUGGCCCCGCGGCGCUGAGCGGGCAGUGGUGGUGGGGCUGGGGCUGGAGCUGGAGCUGUUCAACACCUCUCAUCAGGCAGAGCCGGGAAGGAGAGGCCACCGCCAGCCCUGCCCUGCUGCCCUGGCACGGCUGGCUGGGGGUGGCCAGGCAGGCAAGGCUCGCUGCAGGCCGUGCUGAGAUGGCAGUGGCUGCAGCACAUCAUUGUGUGCUGCACUGGGAUAGCCCUGGUGGUGGCACCUCACCACCCCUGGAAAAUUAACUGUCCGUGUGCUGUUUUGAUUUUCUUCUUAAAUAGGUCAUCACAGAAGCAUUACCAACCUCUUAAGUGGGCCAGCAGCAUUUUCAUCUUCAGAGCCAUCAGAAAUUGGCUCUGUUGGACAUGGUGAAUGCUUCUAGCAUCUUCUCACAAAACCACUUCUGUGGCCCUUCCCCCCUACCAGAAAACCAGUCUGUGCCAAAUGGCACCAUGCAACGGGGCCUCCAUGAGCACUGGUCUAGGGGCUUUCUCCACAGCCAUGGAUUUAAGGGGUUUCAGCAGCAGUGCUGGCUGGCUGAGCCCAGGCAGCUGGAAGUGCUGCAUAAAUCUGUUAGCAACUAUGCAGCCAUGCCCAGAGCCUCAUGCACUUUGAGUCCAGAAUUACCAUAUUGUUGCUGUUUGGGCCUUGUUAUGGUGCUGUUGGGGUCUGUAAAACUUACCUUUUGCAAUUGUGCAGCACUUAGACGUGGAUUUUCCUUUCAGUGUAAUGCGACUAAAGACAUGGAAACAUGAGUCACUGUUGUAUCACAGUUGCUCACAUCCAAGAAACGGAAGAACAUUUUAUAAUAGCAGGAAGGAUAAGAAUGUAGGCAUGAAACUAAACAUUGGUUUUGCAGAGGAACGUUGUCAGCUGGCUUCUCCUUAGCCACUCUGGACAUGGAAGUCUCAUGCUGUCUGGCUUUUGCUUCAACUCCUGAAGCUUCAAGGUUGACAAAACCCAUGCUGAGCCCUGACUGGAUUAGGUGGACAAGCACAGCCUCCCCCUCGCCUGUGGGCAGAGAGAGGAUGCCCAACAGCACUGCCAGGGACCUGAGUUUAUUGGUUUCACCAUCGCUGUUUCAGCCCAGACAGAACACUUCAUGCAGAUCUGCAGUGACACAUAUUCAGUCCAGUAGUGUCAGAUGUCUCUUCCCCCAGUUGCUCUCUGUAUCCAGGCUUUUUUGCUGUGGUUUUCCUGCAUUGAUGAGUGGCUUCUUUGUUUUGCAUUGUCGUAAUAAUUUUCCUAGAGCCAUGAUUAAUUUAGAAUGGGUACCUGGGCCUGCUGCUAAGUUCUCUGAUGCUUGUUUUCUAUUGCUGCCGGGGUGUGUAGUGCAUUUCUUGGCAGGAUGAUUUCCAAGCUGCCUAAUGCUGAGGCUAAUGCAGAGAGCAGCUGAAUAAAAACUAAAUAACAUAAAAAUAAACAAACAAAUAUGUGAAGAGGAGGAAAAGGAAGAAAAAAGAUGUGGUGGAUGGAAGAAGAGCAUAAGCUAGAGAAGAUUUACCAUCAUGUAAUAGUACUAUGUUGGAGCAAAAAGGGAUCAAUCAAAUGACACAAUGGUAUGUUGCAUUUAAUUAUAUACCCUAAUAGAGCCAAGCAUUAAAAGUAUAAAGUGGUGGUUCUAUUAGCCAAACCCGUGCUUCUCAGAGUUGAAGGGUUAUGUGUUUGAGCAGACAUCUCUUACUGGGAUUUUUCUUCCUCAACUGUGAAAUCCCACAGUACUGGACAGAAAGCAACACACACCUGCGUGCAGUAGGUCCCUUUAGCAGUCUGCUGUUCCUCCACACCCCACUUUGUAAGCUGUUUAAUUAGAUGUGCAGUUGUGAUAAAUGGAAGGAGAAUUUACUGGUAUGCCCCCAGAAGUCAGUAAAAUCACAAUAGGUUUACAGGGCUAGCUAAGCAGGAUGCAGUCCACCUUUCCCAUAUGCAGUCUGGAGUAGUAAGAAGAGAUUUACCUGGCUUCUCAAGCAGCUUCUGUUUCCUUCAAUAUAUAGAAGCUGCACAGGUUUCACAUAAGCACAGAUAGAUCAUGUCUCCUGUUAUCUUUUUUCCCAGCUGAAAACUCAACCAUCCCUCUUUCCUAUUUGACAUUGCACUGCUCUGCAUCCUUUUUUGUCACGCAGACUGUGAUUUUCUUUUGCUGUUUUUGUAUGUGUGGCAGACUUAGACCAAAGGAAAAAAAAAAAAAAAAAAAAAUUGCCUUCUCUUCUCCUGGAGCAGCCUGUGCAAAAAAAGCUUCCUGAGCAUCCCAGAGAUGACAUCUUUAAUGUGUAAAGCAUUCAAAAAUCAGUGUAUUCCAAGGGUCUGCUCAGUAACGGCAGUGUUUGUUCUGUUCAGUCAAGUUAGCUGGCAACAGGCAGCAAAAUUAAUGGUAAGGCCACACUGCAUAACUUUUCUCAAGUACUUUUCUACAGCUGGAAAAUACCACCAUACAUGGGUGAGACAUGUUCAAGAUGCACUGUCUGUUCACUGCCAGGGCUCUUGAUCAAGAUUUGGGUACCAAAACAAUGGCCAGCACAGACAUCCACUGCAGUAAUUAUCAAAUUUGAUGCUCUUUUCAAACAGAGUGUUCUUUCAAUCUCAUUCUUGGCUCUAAUAGCUGUGCAGGUUAAAUUACUUUUUAAGGGUUGUGACUAUUGUUUUGCAAAUAAAUUUUGGCAGUAGAAUACCAUGUAAUAACAGACUUUUUUAAUGCCAGUGGGUUUAAUCAAUAAAUAAGUGUUUAGUUUUACUGCAGGUGGAGGCAAUCUAAGUCACCUCUAGGGAAAGACAAGCAGGCAUUUAAAAUAAACCUCUUGGCAUGUUAAUUACCUUAAAUCAAGUUCUGAGCUUAUCCUAAAGCAUUAGGAUGUGACUGAUAAAAUCCAAAUGCCAUCAUGCAUUUGUAAACCCUGAGCCACCCCCGAUAGUGAUACAACAGUGUACUUGGAAAAAAUCCCUGUUUAGAAGGACAAAAAGGAGGAUCUGUAUCUGCAGGUAAUCCAUGAGAUCAGGAGAUGGUACCAAAGACUGAUCUAAAGUUUCUGUUUCAGAUAGAAGCUCAGCUUCUUUUUCAAGGAUGUCAAAGCACAUACAUCUGUCACUGCUGUUUUCUAGGACUUCAGGCAGCUAAAGCAUGCUUCAGCUAUUUAGGCUCUCCACAAAUCAUGGUUUCAUCUUCCACACUGAUAGUUAAUGGUAUGUUCCUAUUCUCUGUGAGAGACCAGGCAUGGAAGUUGGACUCAGUAUAUGUCAUGCUGAGGCUACACAGAGCAACAAAAUUAUACCUUUUGUCUUUCCCUCAACACUCUUCCUGCUGCUUCCCAAAAGUUUUGUUGGCUUUUUUUGGCUGCAGAUGCACACUGGGCAUGCAGCUGUUAACAGCAACUUCAGGCCUCUUUCCUGCACCAUGAUGGCCACUUCCAUCAUCAGCAUCAGAGCUUUGGUUUGGUUUAUUUUCCUCUACGUGUGUAUCUACGCUUAUCUAUACUGAAACACCUAUGCCAAGUGUGCCUUUUGUUCAGUUUUGUGAGAUCCUGCAGGAUGUUGUCAUUGGCAUGGCAUUUUGUCCUGAGGAGGUCAGGAAUACUUGUAGACCUGGACAUUCUGUGCACUGUCUUUUCUGCAGGUUGUGAAUGAAGAUGUUGAAUAAAACCAGUCUCAGCAACACUCACUGCUGCCUCCUCUCCACCAUCAAAGCCCUUUCAUUUGCCUCCCAGCCCUUAAUCUACUCUCAGUUCAAAAAUGAACUUUUCCUUCAAAUACUUGGCUUGGUUUCUUAAUUGAUAACCAAGGAGAAAAUAAAAUCCGAGGAUUCUGAAGAAGAACUGUUAAAAUCUUAGGUUAGCUUCUCACUUUUAUAGUCUUUAUUUCUUUCUAAUACAGAACAGACCUCCCAAAAUUCACAGCUGCAGUUCUGAUUGCAGAAGAGGUAAUCCAGAAGAUACACAACUGCCAUGAGUUAACCUUGCAGUAAUUUUUUAAAAGUACCACAUUAUCACAGAGAGUGUAGGUUGGCUUUUGACAGCAUCCCUUUGUUUUCAUUCUAGAAAACCCAAAUGGAUCAGUUGCCAGGGAGGAGAGUAGUGUCACAGAGUUUGCAUCCAUUUGCCAGGUAAAAUAUUAAUCACUGUGGGACAUGAUGCCUAAAUGACAAGGCCAUAGCUGGGAAAGAAAGCAGGACAGCACCCUUGGGUUUUACAGAUGCAGCAGAUAAGGGUAUGUUUAGAUUUUCCUUCACUUAACAAUAACAAAACAGGACAGAACUUCUGUGCAUUUAAAGGAUUAAACGCCCUGAGUGAUUUUAAGAGGUCACGAUACAGCAACACUUCUGCUUUGAACUGGCAAGAAAAAAGAGCUGCAGUGCUGCUACAAGUUCCGUGCUGCUGCGAAGGUGUCUGCCUUGAGUUGUGUGAGUGGGACAGGCCUCCCUGCCUGCAGGAGCCCCAGUGCAGAUGCUUCUGCCUGUCCAGCAAAUAACUGCUUUGGGUGAUGGACAUUUGCUCUCAGGCCCACAUGUAUGGUCCUGGCUGUCUCUGUUGCAAUCUUGUUGGGCUGGCAAGAGCUACGCACAUGCGGCAGCCUGAUGCAGGAAGUGGCUCUGUGGGCAGCAGGAUCCACAUCUCUCACACGGACUUUGCAGAAAGCACUGCUCUGGCAAAAGAGCAAUAUUUUUGGUGAGGUAUGGAAGAGUGGCUGUGAACCAUGUGAAGAUACAGUGAGAAAUCCAGCAGAGUUUGCUGUCAGCAUACUUUUAGAGGACUGAUAUUUUGGCAAAGAGCCAGCCCCCCUCCUCUGUUUACCUAAUGUCCUCCUGCACUUCCACUUAAAUAGGAGCUUAUUUCCUGUACUAAACUACAGUGCAUCUUGUGGUUAGUUAUUAACUCGCUUCUGUGUUUGAAAAAGGCCUUUAUUGCAGCAGAAGGGGAUUCUUUUGUAAUCCUCCCUCAGUUCGGGGCAGCUGUGCAAUCUGCCCAUGACACAUCCUCAGCACAGCACAAACACAGUCCUGGUAUUUUCAGGGCAUUGUCAUCAGACUGAAUGAGUCACACAGCCUGGAGAUGAGAAGUUUCUUCAGGAAUCUUGCUGCACCCCCCUGGGAAAAUUCAUCACUGGGUAUCUGAAGAUAGGAGCUUACUUUUGCACCCAUUUGGCUCCUAAUCUUUAGGGCUGUACAGUAAUGACUGAUAAGAAGGGGAUAUUCAGGAGGAAGAAAUGUUUUCUGCCCAGCCUUGUUACUUCAGGAAGGAUCUUGCUGAGUUGUAACCCCUGCCUGCAGCACCUUAUCCAAUUAAGUGUGUAAAACAAACUGUUCCAUGAACAAUGAACUAAGAAACUCAGUUUCAACAGGUUUAUGUUUUGCUCUUUUCUCUCACUCUUCAAGUUUUAAUUCUCCCCGUGACCUUCCUUCUCUUUUGAUACUCUAAUUUCCCCAGUAAAUCCAUUAAACUGCCAUCACAUCCCAACCACCUGCCACAUCUCCACAUCUCCCAGGUGUGGGAUGGGGAAGAGGUGGUAAAUAGCCAAGCUCAUCAUAUCGAGGUUUCUCUGAUGUCAAUGCCAAUUCUUGAAUAUGCAUUGGGCCAUUUUAUAAAACCUGGGAAAACAACCUAUAUCUACUAAAAUUAAUUUUCCUGUCUCUGGCCUUUUUUUCCUGUUCCUGUCCUACUAAUGCUAAAACAGAACUUGCUACCGGCAGAUAUCACAGCAAAAUGCAGAUUUAAUACUUACAGAGAUCUGCUCAUUUUAUAAGGGAUAGAAACAGCAAAAAGAAAAGGCAGUAAUUACAGGCUGCUAAAUGGAGCUGAUAUGAGCCCUAGUGAAGUGUUAAUGAAACCUCCUAGCCAAGCUUUGGGGUUCUGAGAGUGAAUGCAGGGCCAUGCAUACCUUCCUCUGUCCAUGGGGAGGUAAAAUUCAAUUUAGAGAUUAAUCUGUUACCCAGUUUAAUCUGGUGUUGGGCCAGGUGCAGUCAUCUAUAAUGCACAGCCAGCACAUGCAGAGUGUGGAAAGGUUCUGGUUUAGGCUGCUUUAAGGGCUCCUUGUCAACUGUCAAGGGUUAUACUGUUUGCACACCCCGGCUGCAUCUCCCUUGCAGUCACUCCGAUCUGCUGGAGAAGAAACUGAACAAACCUCGGUGUGACGGUGGAUCUAUUUGAAAACGAAGUGGAUUCGGGGGUAUUUCAGGUUACCGGGAACCAGAGGACGGGAACGCCCCCUGCCCGCCUCCGCACGCUUCUGCCGGCUCUGGCGGGGGAGCAAGGGCUGGGGGUGCCCGCGGCUCGCUUGGGGUCCCUGGCCGCUCUGCGGCUCGGGCCGCUUCGGCGGUUGCGGCGGGCCCUGCUCCCUUCUCCAGCGUCCGCUGAACCGGCGCUGCCCGCCUAGGCCUUCUCCCGGGGCCGCGCCCCACGCGGCGCCACCAGGGCCACCGUCAUCGUCACCGCAGCGGCGGUCCCGCCGCGAGUCGGGCCGGGCCGGGCGGCGGAGGCGGAGCCACGCCUGGGGCGGGGCGGGGCGGUGGCGGUCGCUGCCCCAGCGCGGGGUGGGCGGACGGCGCGGUGCGGGGUGAUGGAGUCGCGGGCCCUCGUCGCCCGCGCCCUGGUUCGCAGGGCCCGCUG